rnacentral:rRNA from 1 species
GAUGAACGCUGGCGGCGUGCCUAAUACAUGCAAGUCGAGCGAACAGACGAGGAGCUUGCUCCUCUGACGUUAGCGGCGGACGGGUGAGUAACACGUGGAUAACCUACCUAUAAGACUGGGAUAACUUCGGGAAACCGGAGCUAAUACCGGAUAAUAUAUUGAACCGCAUGGUUCAAUAGUGAAAGACGGUUUUGCUGUCACUUAUAGAUGGAUCCGCGCCGCAUUAGCUAGUUGGUAAGGUAACGGCCUACCAAGGCAACGAUGCGUAGCCGACCUGAGAGGGUGAUAGGCCACACUGGAACUGAGACACGGACCAGACGACUACGGGAGGCAGCAGUAGGGAAUCUGCCGCAAUGGGCGAAAGCCUGACGGAGCAACGCCGCGUGAGUGAUGAAGGUCUUCGGAUCGUAAAACUCUGUUAUUAGGGAAGAACAAAUGUGUAAGUAACUAUGCACGUCUUGACGGUACCUAAUCAGAAAGCCACGGCUAACUACGUG